GAGGAAUAUUGGUCAAUGGGCGGAAGCCUGAACCAGCCAAGUAGCGUGCAGGAUGACGGCCCUAUGGGUUGUAAACUGCUUUUAUGCGGGGAUAAAGGGGCCCACGUGUGGGUUUUUGCAGGUACCGCAUGAAUAAGGACCGGCUAAUUCCGUGCCAGCAGCCGCGGUAAUACGGAAGGUCCGGGCGUUAUCCGGAUUUAUUGGGUUUAAAGGGAGCGUAGGCCGCCCCUUAAGCGUGUUGUGAAAUGCGGGUGCUCAACAUCCGACUUGCAGCGCGAACUGGGGGGCUUGAGUGCGCCGAAAGUAGGCGGAAUUCGUGGUGUAGCGGUGAAAUGCUUAGAUAUCACGAAGAACUCCGAUUGCGAAGGCAGCUUACUGUAGCGCAACUGACGCUGAUGCUCGAAAGCGUGGGUAUCGAACAGGAUUAGAUACCCUGGUAGUCCACGCGGUAAACGAUGGAUGCUCGUUGUCGGCCUUUGAGGCCGGUGACCAAGCGAAAGCGUUAAGCAUCCCACCUGGGGAGUACGCCGGCAACGGUG
rnacentral:rRNA from 1 species